CUGUGCUUCUCUUAGGAAUGAGUAGGCCUGAAAUAAGGCCUGUCUCUGGCUGAGUGCAGAAGUCAGUUACUCAUAAAGAAAAUCUGAGGGUGAGAAAUUGGCCUGUUGCCUGCACUGUCCAGAGCACGGCCUUCACAGGCAUUCAGAAGAUACUGGAGGUGACCACAGCCUUCCACCCCAGAAGGCUCUCACAAAAAAAGGAGGGCUUUGAGAUCUACUCUGUGGCAAGUGUGGUGCCGCAGGUCCUCAAUACAUUGCACAGCCACACCUGUGUGUUUUCCAGUGCUGUGACUGACAGAGAUCAGGGGUUUAGGGGGUGACUUCACCUGUGGAGUCAGUUUCAGUGCUUGCAGUGAGGAGGAAAGAGUUUUGGGAGGGCAGCUCUUUGUGUAGCAACAACCAGGAAAGACUGCUUCUCAUAGAAGUAAAGAAAUUAUUUGUCAGCUGGUCAGAGAUCUCAGCCCUGGGCUCAUAAGGUUUACUUCUACACAGCUCUGAGAGACACAAGCAGUUUCCUGUCAUGAAAACCAUCUGUCUUGCUUUUGGGGUCUUUGUUCCCAGAGAUGGGGUCUCUGCUCCCACUGGCCUGGAGUUAGCUUCCCCCUUCAUCAGGUGCCCCAGCAGUUGGGGAAACCAAGUUGCAUCAAGUUCAAGGAACAGGUCUCCAUUUGCACAGUGUCUGUAGCAGAACCAGGACCAGAAUUUUUGAUCUUUGACUGUUGCUCUAGAUGCUCAACUACUUUGUACUCUGUGCUUUGUUUGGGUGGAAGGAGACUUGCCUGAAACCUGGCAUGGGUCUCUAGUGAUUGGAAGCUGCCACUCUGACAGUUAUUUAAUGUUUCAGAAGCAAGGAGCUGGUGGGAAAAACUCUGCCAUUUGGUACAGAAGAAGGUUUGUUCCUCCAUUAGUUAAGGAUUUUGUGGCACCUGGCUUGGAUUCAGCCAACCGGACAAAGAGGAAACAGACCUCACAUCUUGACCUUCCUCCUUCACCCAGAAACCUUGUGGAAAAGCAGUCUGGUGCUUUGUUGGAUAGCUCUAGGAUAUGUGGAAAUAUUGCGGCCCCAUCACUGCUGUCCAAAGACUGUCAUCAGCGGAGCCAACAGAAGGGAUCACAUUCCCUUAGGUGCUGGUAUGCUUCAGCCACAAUAUUUAUUUGUGGCUGGAGCAAGAGGAUUCACUGUUGUUGGACUGGAGUCUUUGUUGUGGUGAGCACUGCCAGAUACACUAAGCACUUUAAAUAUCUGAGCAGAUGCAUCCUGGAAGCUCUGCCACUGGUGUCAGUUGGGAAUCCUAUUCCUUACCUUACAAAAUCCAGACUUAAUUUAUUUACUGUCUCCGAGACUCAGCUGCCAGGUUACUGCAUUUCUAAAGAUUUGGUCUUCUCCCUUCAUCAGUUUAACUUCAUGAUAAUGCCAUUUCACAAAACACUGAUACAGUUUUGCCUUCGCUUUCCUCCUGCUUGUCUCUCUGUCAAACACCCUCACUCUUUCAUUUUGAGUCUCUCUUCUGUCUCAGCUUUUUCUUCAUUCUUGCUUUGUCCUGUCUCAUUAGGUAUCCCUCAACCUUUGCACUUUUCAGACCAUCAUUACUCACUUCAAAGACAUUACUGA
ensembl:lncRNA